GGUUUAGGCGUAGUGGGUUUUCGUGUUGGACCAUGACUCUGGAGAACAGGGUUCGAUUCCCAGCUUGACCA